CAGGCUUAACACAUGCAAGUCGAGGGGCAGCAUGGUCUUAGCUUGCUAAGGCCGAUGGCGACCGGCGCACGGGUGAGUAACACGUAUCCAACCUGCCGUCUACUCUUGGACAGCCUUCUGAAAGGAAGAUUAAUACAAGAUGGCAUCAUGAGUCCACAUGUUCACAUGAUUAAAGGUAUUCCGGUAGACGAUGGGGAUGCGUUCCAUUAGAUAGUAGGCGGGGUAACGGCCCACCUAGUCUUCGAUGGAUAGGGGUUCUGAGAGGAAGGUCCCCCACAUUGGAACUGAGACACGGUCCAAACUCCUACGGGAGGCAGCAGUGAGGAAUAUUGGUCAAUGGGCGAGAGCCUGAACCAGCCAAGUAGCGUGAAGGAUGACUGCCCUAUGGGUUGUAAACUUCUUUUAUAAAGGAAUAAAGUCGGGUAUGCAUACCCGUUUGCAUGUACUUUAUGAAUAAGGAUCGGCUAACUCCGUGCCAGCAGCCGCGGUAAUACGGAGGAUCCGAGCGUUAUCCGGAUUUAUUGGGUUUAAAGGGAGCGUAGAUGGAUGUUUAAGUCAGUUGUGAAAGUUUGCGGCUCAACCGUAAAAUUGCAGUUGAUACUGGAUAUCUUGAGUGCAGUUGAGGCAGGCGGAAUUCGUGGUGUAGCGGUGAAAUGCUUAGAUAUCACGAAGAACUCCGAUUGCGAAGGCAGCCUGCUAAGCUGCAACUGACAUUGAGGCUCGAAAGUGUGGGUAUCAAACAGGAUUAGAUACCCUGGUAGUCCACACGGUAAACGAUGAAUACUCGCUGUUUGCGAUAUACAGCAAGCGGCCAAGCGAAAGCGUUAAGUAUUCCACCUGGGGAGUACGCCGGCAACGGUGAAACUCAAAGGAAUUGACGGGGGCCCGCACAAGCGGAGGAACAUGUGGUUUAAUUCGAUGAUACGCGAGGAACCUUACCCGGGCUUAAAUUGCAGAUGAAUUACGGUGAAAGCCGUAAGCCGCAAGGCAUCUGUGAAGGUGCUGCAUGGUUGUCGUCAGCUCGUGCCGUGAGGUGUCGGCUUAAGUGCCAUAACGAGCGCAACCCUUGUUGUCAGUUACUAACAGGUCAUGCUGAGGACUCUGACAAGACUGCCAUCGUAAGAUGUGAGGAAGGUGGGGAUGACGUCAAAUCAGCACGGCCCUUACGUCCGGGGCUACACACGUGUUACAAUGGGGGGUACAGAGGGCCGCUACCACGCGAGUGGAUGCCAAUCCCAAAAACCUCUCUCAGUUCGGACUGGAGUCUGCAACCCGACUCCACGAAGCUGGAUUCGCUAGUAAUCGCGCAUCAGCCACGGCGCGGUGAAUACUUUCCCGGGCCUUGUACACACCGCCCGUCAAGCCAUGGGAGCCGGGGGUACCUGAAGUGCGUAACCGCGAGGAGCGCCCUAGGGUAAAACUGGUGACUGGGGCUAAGUCAUAACA
rnacentral:rRNA from 1 species